rnacentral:rRNA from 1 species
ACCCGAUGCAAACUACGAAUACCGAAGAAUGUUAUCACGGGAGACACACGGCGGGUGCUAACGUCCGUCGUGAAGAGGGAAACAACCCAGACCGCCAGCUAAGGUCCCAAAGUCAUGGUUAAGUGGGAAACGAUGUGGGAAGGCACAGACAGCCAGGAUGUUGGCUUAGAAGCAGCCAUCAUUUAAAGAAAGCGUAAUAGCUCACUGGUCGAGUCGGCCUGCGCGGAAGAUGUAACGGGGCUAAACCAUGCACCGAAGCUGCGGCAGCGACACUAUGUGUUGUUGGGUAGGGGAGCG